AGCGGAUGAAGGUAGCUUGCUACCGGAUUCAGCGGCGGACGGGUGAGUAAUGCUUAGGAAUCUGCCUAUUAGUGGGGGACAACGUUCCGAAAGGAGCGCUAAUACCGCAUACGUCCUACGGGAGAAAGCNGGGGACCUUUGGGCCUUGCNNUAAUAGAUGAGCCUAAGUCGGAUUAGCUAGUUGGUAGGGUAAAGGCCUACCAAGGCGACGAUCUGUAGCGGGUCUGAGAGGAUGAUCCGCCACACUGGGACUGAGACACGGCCCAGACUCCUACGGGAGGCAGCANUGGGGAAUAUUGGACAAUGGGGGGAACCCUGAUCCAGCCAUGCCGCGUGUGUGAAGAAGGCCUUUUGGUUGUAAAGCACUUUAAGCGAGGAGGAGGCUACCUAGAUUAAUACUUUAGGAUAGUGGACGUUACUCGCAGAAUAAGCACCGGCUAACUCUGUGCCAGCAGCCGCGGUAAUACAGAGGGUGCGAGCGUUAAUCGGAUUUACUGGGCGUAAAGCGUGCGUAGGCGGCCAAUUAAGUCAAAUGUGAAAUCCCCGAGCUUAACUUGGGAAUUGCAUUCGAUACUGGUUGGCUAGAGUAUGGGAGAGGAUGGUAGAAUUCCAGGUGUAGCGGUGAAAUGCGUAGAGAUCUGGAGGAAUACCGAUGGCGAAGGCAGCCAUCUGGCCUAAUACUGACGCUGAGGUACGAAAGCAUGGGGAGCAAACAGGAUUAGAUACCCUGGUAGUCCAUGCCGUAAACGAUGUCUACUAGCCGUUGGGGCCCUUGAGGCUUUAGUGGCGCAGCUAACGCGAUAAGUAGACCGCCUGGGGAGUACGGUCGCAAGACUAAAACUCAAAUGAAUUGACGGGGGCCCGCACAAGCGGUGGAGCAUGUGGUUUAAUUCGAUGCAACGCGAAGAACCUUACCUGGCCUUGACAUACA
rnacentral:rRNA from 1 species